rnacentral:rRNA from 1 species
GACGAACGCUGGCGGCGUGCUUAACACAUGCAAGUCGAACGGAAAGGCCCUGCUUUUGUGGGGUGCUCGAGUGGCGAACGGGUGAGUAACAAGUGAGUAACCUGCCCUUGACUUUGGGAUAACUUCAGGAAACUGGGGCUACUACCGGAUAGGAGCUCCUGCUGCAUGGUGGGGGUUGGAAAGUUUCGGCGGUUGGGGAUGGACUCGCGGCUUAUCAGCUUGUUGGUGGGGUAGUGGCUUACCAAGGCUUUGACGGGUAGCCGGCCUGAGAGGGUGACCGGCCACAUUGGGACUGAGAUACGGCCCAGACUCCUACGGGAGGCAGCAGUGGGGAAUAUGGCACAAUGGGCGGAAGCCUGAUGCAGCAACGCCGCGUUCGUGAUGACGGCCUUCGGGUGGUAAACCGCUUUCGCCUGUGACGAAGCGUGAUUGACGGUAAUGGGUAAAGAAGCACCGGCUAACUACGUG